rnacentral:rRNA from 1 species
AUUGAACGCUGGCGGCAGGCCUAACACAUGCAAGUCGAACGGAUGGCGGACGGGUGAGUAAUGUCUUGGAAACUGCCCGAUGGAGGGGGAUAACUACUGGAAAAGGUAGCUAAAACAGCAUAACAUCGGUUGUGCCCAGAUGGGAUUAGCUAGUAGGUGGGUUAACGGCUAUCCUAGGCGACGAGCCGUAGCUGGUCUGAGAGGAUGACCAGCCACACUGGAACUGAGAAACGGUCCAGACGCCUACGGGAGGCAGCAGUGGGGAAUAUGGCACAAUGGGCGAAAGCCUGAUGCAGCCAUGCCGCGUGUAUGAAGAAGGCCUUCGGGUUGUAAAGUACUUUCAGUGAGGAGGCGUUACUCGCAGAAGAAGCACCGGCUAACUCCGUGCCAGCAGCCGCGGUAAUUC